UACGAAGGGGGCUAGCGUUGCUCGGAAUCACUGGGCGUAAAGCGCACGUAGGCGGCUUUCUAAGUCAGGGGUGAAAUCCUGGAGCUCAACUCCAGAACUGCCUUUGAUACUGGAGAGCUAGAGUCCGGAAGAGGUGAGUGGAACUGCGAGUGUAGAGGUGAAAUUCGUAGAUAUUCGCAAGAACACCAGUGGCGAAGGCGGCGCCCUGGCUCGCAACUGACGCUCAGACACGACAGCAUGGGGAGCGAACGGG
rnacentral:rRNA from 1 species